CCUCUCCAAGGAUGACUUGCACUGGGCUCUGAGUCUAUAUGGAGAUAACGUGCAUCUUUGGCCCUGACAAGCCAAAGAGUCUGAGGAGAAU
rnacentral:snoRNA from 1 species